GGACUACAGGGGUUUCUAAUCCCGUUCGAUUCCCACGCUUUCGUGUUUCAGUGUCAGGAAUGCGCCAGUAUAUUGCCUUCGCUUUUGGUGUUCCCCAUGAUAUCAACGGAUUUCACCCCUACACCAUGAGUUCCAUAUACCUCUCGCAUCCUCUAAGUCAUGCCGUUUCUCCUGCAUUUUCUGGGUUAAGCCCAAAAACUUUAACAAAAGACUAACAUGACCACCUACACACCCUUUACGCCCAGUGAUUCCGGGUAACGCUUGAGGCCUCUGUAUUACCGCGGCUGCUGGCAC
rnacentral:rRNA from 1 species